GACGAACGCUGGCGGCGUGCUUAACACAUGCAAGUCGAACGGAAAGGCCCUGCUUUUGUGGGGUGCUCGAGUGGCGAACGGGUGAGUAACACGUGAGUAACCUGCCCUUGACUUUGGGAUAACUUCAGGAAACUGGGGCUAAUACCGGAUAGGAGCUCCUGCUGCAUGGUGGGGGUUGGAAAGUUUCGGCGGUUGGGGAUGGACUCGCGGCUUAUCAGCUUGUUGGUGGGGUAGUGGCUUACCAAGGCUUUGACGGGUAGCCGGCCUGAGAGGGUGCCCGGCCACAUUGGGACUGAGAUACGGCCCAGACUCCUACGGGAGGCAGCAGUGAGGAAUAUUGCACAAUGGGCGGAAGCCUGAUGCAGCAACGCCGCGUGCGGGAUGACGGCCUUCGGGUUGUAGACCGCUUUCGCCUGUGACGAAGCGUGAGUGACGGUAAUGGGUAAAGAAGCACCGGCUAACUACGUG
rnacentral:rRNA from 1 species